rfam:Cladophialophora psammophila CBS 110553 aczJe-supercont1.6, whole genome shotgun sequence.
CGCCUUCAAAGAUGAGCCAUAUUAUCAUAUUCAGUUAUCCCUGUCUGAAUACUUCUUGUUGACCACAUUGUACUCUGAGAGACCA